rnacentral:rRNA from 1 species
CCUACGGGAGGCUGCAGUGGGGAAUAUUGGACAAUGGGGGCAACCCUGAUCCAGCCAUGCCGCGUGUGUGAAGAAGGCCCUCGGGUUGUAGAGCACUUUCAGUGAGGAAGAACGCCUGGUGGUUAAUACCCAUCAGGAAAGACAUCACUCACAGAAGAAGCACCGGCUAACUCCGUGCCAGCAGCCGCGGUAAUACGGAGGGUGCGAGCGUUAAUCGGAAUUACUGGGCGUAAAGCGCGCGUAGGUGGCUUGAUAAGCCGGUUGUGAAAGCCCCGGGCUCAACCUGGGAACGGCAUCCGGAACUGUCAAGCUAGAGUGCAGGAGAGGAAGGUAGAAUUCCCGGUGUAGCGGUGAAAUGCGUAGAGAUCGGGAGGAAUACCAGUGGCGAAGGCGGCCUUCUGGACUGACACUGACACUGAGGUGCGAAAGCGUGGGUAGCAAACAGGAUUAGAUACCCUAGUAGUC